rnacentral:rRNA from 1 species
UACAUAGGGUGCGAGCGUUGUCCGGAAUCACUGGGCUUAAAGGGCGCGUAGGCGGGUGUGCAAGUCUGUGGUGAAAGCCUCCAGCUUAACUGGAGAAGUGCCGUGGAUACUGCGCAUCUUGAGGAGGGUAGGGGCAUCUGGAACGGUCGGUGGAGCGGUGAAAUGCGUUGAUAUCGACCGGAACUCCGGUGGCGAAGGCGAGGUGCUGGACCCUUUCUGACGCUGAGGCGCGAAAGCCAGGGGAGCAAACGGG